CCUGAGGACACCGUCACCAGGACUCCUCGGCCCCAGUAGUCAAAAUAGUCCCCUCACCGUGUCUCUUGCACAGUAAUAUGUGGCCGUGUCCUCGGUCUUCAGGUUGUUCAUCUGCAGAUACAGCGUGUUCUUGGAGUUGUCUCUGGAGAUGGUGAAUCGGCCCUUCACGGAGUCCGCGUAGCCUGUGCUACCUCCAUUAC